AGUAGUUUGAUCCUGGCUCAGGACGAACGCUGGCGGUGUGCUUCACACAUGCAAGUCGAACGAGGUAGCAAUACCUAGUGGCGGACGGGUGAGUAACGCGUGGGAAUCUGCCUUUAGAUGGGGGAUAACGGGCCGAAAGGUCCGCUAAUACCGCAUAUGCCGCAAGGUGAAAGGAGUAAUCCGUCUAAAGAUGAGCCCGCGUCCGAUUAGCUAGUUGGUAGAGUAAGAGCCUACCAAGGCGACGAUCGGUAGCUGGUCUGAGAGGAUGAUCAGCCACAAUGGGACUGAGACACGGCCCAUACUCCUACGGGAGGCAGCAGUGGGGAAUUUUACGCAAUGGGGGAAACCCUGACGUAGCGACACCGCGUGAGCGAAGAAGCCCUUUGGGGUGUAAAGCUCUGUCAGCUGGAACGAAACAAUGACGGUACCAGCAGAGGAAGCAUCGGCUAACUACGUG
rnacentral:rRNA from 1 species